AUAAAAUGAGUUUUAAAAAUGAUGCAUUAAAAAGGUGCAAAAAUUGCAACCCUUGCUAACAAGUUCUUAAAUUAAUCGCUGUAUCUUUUGUUCAAGUGCAAUAAAAAAUGUAUAAAAAAUAUAAGACAAAAUAAAUAUAGAAGUUAUAAAAGAAACAAUCAUAACUAUUUAUCACGCAAAAUUGUAUGAAAAAGUUGAGCCGCGUCUCUCAAAGCAUUUGUAUGGAGACACUCUAUCUAUAUAAUCUAAGUGUGUACUAAGUAUUUCACGUCCACUUAUUUUUUUUUAUCGCUGAGCAGUACAAAUAGGUAAACCAAUACACAGUUAUGUGAAGCAAACACUCUUGAAGGAAAUGUGUCGAUGUUAUCGAUGAAGGACAAAUGGCGCGCGACAACAGCUGAUAUUGGCAUAAUAAUUGAAGUGUUCAACAUCUGUGAGCUACAUAGAUAAUGACUUUUCAUUUUUAUUUUAUAGAUAACAUUAUAUCUAUUAAAAACAUGUCUACCUUUAAAUAUAAAUUACGAGUUUGCUUCCUAAAUAACUUGUUUUUUUUUAUUACUUUUUUCUUUAUUCCUUUCUUUUGCUUUUUAAUUGUACUUUUUGCUUUAGUUGUAGCCAAGAAUAAGUCUUCCUAAUUAAAAUGAUAUUCAAGUAUAUUGAACAACAAGAAAAUUAAAACAUAAACUAGAUGCGAACUUUACGUUUAAAAGUUUUCUAACUGAAAUUUGAACAAAGCUGGUAUAAAAAAAAAAACGUAUCGUAACGUUUUGAAACUUUAUUUCAAUACAUCUACAUCUCAUACUAAUUCCAAAAAGGUACAAUUUUGAGUUUAUGUCCACUAUGUUUCGCCACAUCAAAUGGUGAUACUGGUAGAUGUCGUGCUGCAUGCCAGUCACGUACCUCCACGUCGCAGCAGUAGUUGUCUGUGUCUAUGUGCCGCAUGAGACCCGUGUGGCCACGGUACGCGCCGUUCACGAACCGCACCGAGCGCCCCUGCGACGGUAUCACGGUCUCCACGUGAUUCUGUAGACGAAGAGGCAUUUUCAAUCGUCGUCCAAAAGCAAAAGGUUCACAAUUCGUUUGUAUUGGGUGGGAAGGGAUUGUUAGUAAUUCGAACUACCAGUCCCAUUGCUUACAAUGUCCUCUAACAGGUCAACCUCCCCGUGGUGUCCCCUGGAAACCAUCGUGUUGAAUUCAUCACGGUAGGCUAACUGACCUGCCCUAGGGGACAGGGAUUGUUAGUAAUGAGCUCAAACUGACCCAUUGUUGAGGGGAAAGGGAUUGUUAGUGAUGGAGACUGAGAAUCCUAUUGCUAGAAAUAUAUUACAACCAGGUCGACCUCCUCGCGGUUCCCCCUGCAAACUAUCAUGGCUGAUUCCUGAUGAAUUCAUCAUGACGGGCUAACUGGCCUGUUUUCAUUCUCAUCUAUCGCCCUUCACUGGUGCUCCGCCAGCGUAUCCCGUUAGCGCAGGCGGGAUUACCAUACCAUUUUCAGCCAUCAAAAAAAAAUUUACACAUUGCUAGCAAUACACUCUAUUAGGUCAGGAUUCUCACCUAUUAUCUUCCACUGGUGCCCCGCCAGCGUAUAACGAUAGCGCGGGCGGGGUUGCCAUUCCAUUUUCACCCAUAAAAAAAAACUGAUCUGUCUUUUCAUCCUCACUUAUCAUCCCUCACUGGUGUCCCGCCAGUUACCGUUAGCGCAGGCGGGGUUACCAUUCCAUUAUCACUCAUUAAAACACAACUGCUUCACGGUAGAAACACGAAUGGGACAGAGGUAUCUUUCAUUAUGAACUCUAUUUAUCCGUCCUUGCUUACCUGAUCCAAUUUCAACUUGACACCUUCGUCUAGCAGCUUCACAUGGGCCGCGUACUUGUCCACCACUUUCUCCACGAGCGCCUUCCGUUUGUAGAACUUGUCGCCGAGUGACUUCGUAAUAAUCUUCACUACGAUCCCCUCCGUCAGCCAGUAGUCCUUUCUGUAACGAAUCGACGGGAAAUCAGGAAUUUACCAGAGGGAGACUUUGUACAAAAGUCGUUUGCUUGGCCAUCUCUGUCCUAUUCGUGUUUCUACCGUGAAGCAGUUCUGUUUGCAUGGCUGUGUUUCGGUUUGAAGGGUUGGAUAUGGCGUGGAUUUACAGGGUACAGAGGAAUAACACCUGAGUCCUCAGGAAUGGCAACGCAUAGGGUGUAUCAUGGGCGACACAUUAUAGUUUGUUAUGUCAUGUUACUGCUCAUGUCUAUAGACGACGGUUAUUACGACUAAUGGAGAGCGAGGGAUGGACAGCAGCGUCCCUCUUGAGACAUCUCUAAAGCCUAACUGCGGUUACCAACCCGCGUGCUAAGCCUGUAAAACUACUGGCACCCCCCCCCCCUCCCCCCCCAAGGGGAAAGCUUAUGUUCACCAGUGGACAGUUAAAGGGAGACUUUGUACAAAAGUCGAUUGCUUGGGUACCUCUAUCCCAUUCAUGUUUCAACCAGUGAAGCAGUUGUGUUUGCAUGGCUGUGUUUCGGUUUGAAGGGUUGGAUAUGGCGUGGAUUUACAGGGUACAGAGGAAUAACACCUGAGUCCUCAGGAAUGGCAACGCAUGGGGGGUAUCAUGGGCGAAACAGUAUACUCUGUUAUGUCCAUGGUACUGCUCAUGUCUAUAGGCGACGGUUACCACUUUCGAUCAGGUGGGCCGUCAGCUUGUUUGCCAUUCUAAGUAUGUAUAAAAAAAAUUACAAUGAUGAGGAGUAUUUAUUAAAUAAAGAGAAAUAGGUUUAGAAAAAUGAUGUCCUAGAAUCGGUCGUGACGUCAGUUGCAUAAAAGUUUGUAAAAUUUAUUACCUAUUCGCUUUCUCUUUCGCACGCUCCUGCAUAUGCAUAAUCUCGUCAAGGGCUGACUGUUUGCUCCUGCCCUCUUCUGUCUUGUGCUUCUUGCUGGAGGACUCUUCUUUCGUCUUGGACAGUUUUAGAGCUGACGCUGAGAGAGAUUCUGGUUUUUUGUCUGAAAUGAAAUUAAAACAUUCUUGUAUCGUAUGAAACUGGCUAUUACCCGCGGUAUUGCUCGCGUGAAUCAGUUAUAAAGGUGAAUAAUAAUGUAAUUUAUUCAACAAAAAUAUACCAGAUGCAAUUACAAGAUACAUAUGUCUUUUUUUUAUAUACAACUUAGAAUGGCAAACAAGCUGACGGCCCACCUGAUGGAAAGUGGUAACCGUCGCCUAUAGAUAUGAGCAGUACCAUGGACAUAACAGAGUAUACUGUUUCGCCCAUGAUACCCCUCAUGCGUUGCCAUUCCUGAGGACUCAGAUGUUAUUCCUCUGUACCCUGUAAAUUCAUGCCAUAUCCCACCCUUCAAACCGAAACACAACCAUGCAAACACAACUGCUUCACGGUAGAAACACGAAUGGGACAGAGGUGGCCAAGCAAACGACUUUUGUACAGUCUCCCUCUGGUAACUUAAAAUUUUAUGCAUGUUUCAUCUCAGUGCACCAUUUAGAAGUGAUCAUUCCAUUGGUAUUCCUACUUCGGAAAUCCAAACAUACGAAGUAGUAAACAAAAAGCUUAGGCUAAAAAUUUUUCAGUUUCAUUCCGUACAGGUAAUAAAAGAAUACAAAAAUUAUUUUAUAUACCGAUUUGUAAUAAUAAUGUAUCGUAUCACAAUCCCAAUUAUCCGCAUGUGCAGAAAAUAUAACAAACAAUGUAUGCAAGGAGCUUGAUAUCUUCCAACGAUCCUUGCAAUGGUACAUUAAGGCUGGCAAUUUGUUACUUAAAUCUACAGCCGUCAUUCUUUUAAUGUUUCUAAUAUCGAAUGUAAUGCAGAGCAGUUGUCGGAGUGCAAAUUUGAUGCUGUUUUAUGUAAUAUUUAUUUUAUUAAUGUAUUAAUUUGUAAUCUGUUGCCUUGCUAUAAAUAAAUAGAAAAAUGACUCAC